rnacentral:rRNA from 1 species
GCUCAGGACGAACGCUGGCGGCGUGCCUAAUACAUGCAAGUCGAGCGGACUUGAAGGAGUGCUUGCACUCCUGAGAGUUAGCGGCGGACGGGUGAGUAACACGUAGGCAACCUGCCCUCAAGACUGGGAUAACUACCGGAAACGGUAGCUAAUACCGGAUAAUUUAUUWCAYAGCAUUAUGKRAUAAUGAAAGACGGAGCAAUCUGUCACUUGGGGAUGGGCCUGCGGCGCAUUAGCUAGUUGGUGGGGUAAYGGCCCACCAAGGCGACGAUGCGUAGCCGACCUGAGAGGGUGAACGGCCACACUGGGACUGAGACACGGCCCAGACUCCUACGGGAGGCAGCAGUAGGGAAUCUUCCGCAAUGGGCGAAAGCCUGACGGAGCAACGCCGCGUGAGUGAUGAAGGUUUUCGGAUCGUAAAGCUCUGUUGCCAAGGAAGAACGUCUCAUAGAGUAACUGCUAUGAGAGU